rnacentral:misc_RNA from 1 species
UCCUUUUGCUUUGUUUGCCUGGAACCAAUCUAAAGGAUUUGUUUAUGCAUUCUAUGUACUUCGUACAAUUUCAUACAUUAUAAGUCAAGGGAGUGUUUUCUGCAUUUCUGUUGCUUAUGCGGCAGAUUUUAUUAAAGAAAGCAUGAGGGCUGCAGCAUUUAGUUGGAUCACUGGACUUUUUUCUGCUUCUCAUCUCUUGGGCAAUGUUCUGGCACGUUUUCUUCCUGAGAAGUACAUUUUUCUGGUUUCAGUUGUUCUCUUGAUCAGUUGCCCAGUUUAUAUGCAAUUCUUUCUAGUUGAGACAAUUGAACGAACUCCAGCUAGGGACCAAGAUUCAACCUUCUUGAUUAAGAUCAUUAAAGUUUUUCAAACACGAUAUAAAUCAAUGAAGGAUGCGGCAACAAUAGUCUUUAGCAGCCAUACACUUAGAGGCAUUUCUUUUGUUUCCUUUUUCUAUGAGUUGGGGAUGUCCGGCAUCAGCAUCGUCUUAUUUUAUUAUCUGAAGGCAGCAUUUGGUUUUAGCAAAAAUCAAUAUUCAGAAAUUCUGGCAAUGGUGGAAGUUGGUGAAAUUUUAUCUCAGAUUGUGUUGCUUCCUGUUAUCAAUCCUUUGGUUGGAGAGAAAGUGAUACUGUGUCUCGCCAAACCGUAGAACAAUGCAUAAGCUA